CGUUAGACAGUUACACAUUCUCUACUAAAUUAAAUAUGCAUUUCUUCUAACAAAAGAGUAAAACCGUGCCCUGCAGCGUGACGUAACGCUUAUGCUGCCGGCAUAACACCGCCUGUCGUCGGCGGCUUUUACCGCAACGAGCAAUGCAGAGUGUAACCUAGCUUUACAACAAUAAGUUUUGUUGUGCCCGUAGAAGAGAAAACAUAUCAAGUAUUCUUUGGCCCAGCGGUGGCUAUAAGAGGAAGAUCUUUACCCCCUUAUCAUGAUGUAAGGUUCAACGCGUCCUUGAUGUUGGGCAAUUCACAUGUUUCGCUGGGACAACCUACAAGAUUGCCCCAAAACUACAAGCCAAUAGCAGGAUAUCAUAUCGACCCCAAUGUUAAACCUCUUCCGGAGGAUUUGAAAAACAUUUUUGAUAAAGAUGAAAAUGGCGUAAUAUAUUUCGGCAUGGGCUCUAACUUAAAAAGUAAAGAUUUUCCAGAAAAAUUAAAGAAUGAUUUGUUAAAAAUGUUUGGAGCACUCAAAAUAUACUGUCAUUUGGAAAUUUGAAGAAGUACUUUUGGAUUUACCCAGAAAUGUUCACAUCGUCACAUGGGCUCCUCAGCCAAGCAUUUUAGGUACAAGUGUAACUAUCCGUUAUGUUUUCUAAAGCAAUUUC